CCAGUGACCUCCCCAGCCCAGGGUGGGGGCCAGCACUGGCCGCUGGGCUGAGGGGCUGAGAUGAGAGGCGGUGAGGGGGCGUCCGUGGACAUGAAGCCCCUUGGACCAGAGCCCAUUUUGUGAAAUGCACGCUGACACCGCGAUGCCCUCCUCUGCUCGUCCCCCACCACACCCCGGGCUGAGUGGGAGCCCCCAUGCAGGCUCAGAACCCAGACCAGCACCACCGCCGUAGCUGAGGAUAGCUCCGUCCAGCCUGCCUGCUUCUGAGCCCUGCCUGCAGCACCCCACCUCCAACUGCUGACCGUGGGAUGAACAGGGUCCACCCACAGGGAGCUUGUGAGGCGGGUGGAGGACACGAGAACGGGUGUAUCCCUGGAAGGCCGGGUAGCGUCCUGCUCGGUUACACAUCAGUGCUGUUAUGAAGAACUUUCCAACUCCCCAAACUUAACUGUCUUAAAACUGUGUCAGAUUGCCAUGGCUCGGAAGAGUCUACAUAGAAUUGGAUGCCUAACUUGACUGGUAUUUUGAGGUUUCCAAGCAUGCUUAAGAAUUUAAAAUGUACUUUCUAUAAAAUGCCACAAUUAAACUACCUGUGAAUCAAAGAAAGACAAGAUGGCUUUUCACGUUCCUCUGCCUCAGAUUCCACACUGGCCUACCUUUCUCCUCAGAAUCUGUCAGGAUCUGUCUUAGACACCAGAUUACAUACGUUCUCUGGCCUAAAGCUGAGUUGCAAGUCAUAGUUAAGAAUUUCUGAAAGUAACUGAGAAAGAUUGAAGGCAAAAGUAUAGGGCGGCAGAGGAUAAGAUGGUUAGAUAGCAUCACUGACUCACUCAAUGGACAUGAAUCUGAGCAAACUCCAAGAGAUACUGAAGGACAGGGUAACCUGACGUGCUGCAGACCAUGGAAUUGCAAAGAAGAAUCAGACACGACUGAGCGACUCAACAACAACAGAGUGACUGAGGACCCUUGGGUUUGCUGAAGAUUUUUUUUUUUUUGGCCACUUUAUUUUUUAAUUGAAGGAUAAUUGCUUUACAGAAUUUUGCUGUUUUCUGUCAAACAUCAACAAGACUCAGCCAUAGGUCCACCCAUGCCCCCUCCCUCUUGAACCCCCUCCCGUCGCCCUCCCCACCCCACCCUUCUAGAUAGUCACAGAACCCCUGUUUGAGUUCCCUGAGGCAUACGGCAAAUUCCCAUCGGCUCUCUAUUUUACAUAUGGUAUUGUAAAUUUCCAUGUCACUCUCUCCACACGUCUCAUCCACUCCAUCCUCCCGUGCUGAAGAUUUUUUUUAAAUAUUUAGU